rnacentral:rRNA from 1 species
UACGUAGGGUGCAAGCGUUAAUCGGAAUUACUGGGCGUAAAGCGUGCGCAGGCGGUUCGGUAAGUGAGGUGUGAAAUCCCAGGGCUUAACCUUGGAACUGCACUUCUAACUACCGGGCUAGAGUACGUCAGAGGGGGGUAGAAUUCCACGUGUAGCAGUGAAAUGCGUAGAGAUGUGGAGGAAUACCGAUGGCGAAGGCAGCCCCCUGGGAUGAUACUGACGCUCAUGCACGAAAGCGUGGGGAGCAAACAGG